UUCACCCAGAUAGUAAGGUUCCAUUUGGUGAUGGGGAAUGGAAGUAAGUCUAGCUCUUUUCCCACAGAAGGAGGUACAGCCAUCUGGCGUUUGGAGAUUUUGAAUUUCUUGUUAAUGGCAAAAUCUGGAACAUUGUUGCGACUCAGGCAGCUAGUCCAUGAUGGUCACCGUUCCGAAGGAAAAAGAGCAGCCUUGGGUAGGGACACUGCUCAUGGGGAUCUACGUCAUGUAAAUGUCCACCGAGAAAGGGACCAACACAACUAGUCUGAAAAUGCCAAUAUGGCAUCCCUGAGGAGGAGGUGGACCUGCCCCUGGAAUGCAGAACAUACCUUCUAAGAUGUCAUGAAACGUACGUUCUCAUUCCAUCCCUCCGUUACAUGUGGAACUGCCCAGGAGGUUUGGGGACCUGUUAUGCUGAGAUGAUAACUUCAGAGCGUUCUUCUAAGUGCUUUACAGAUGAUUACCUUAUUUAAUUCUUAUGACAACCUUGUGAAAUAGGUACUAUUGAUUUACGGAUAGAGAAAUGGAGGCAAGGAAAUGGUUGGAACGCCCUAGGAACAUUUCUAAUUCUUUUCUUCACAACCGUCCAUUGCCUCGAGGAUUAAGUCAGCG
rnacentral:lncRNA from 1 species